UCGUAAACUCCUGUCAGGCGGGACGAAAAGGCGCCGGCAAACAGCCUGCGUCUCUGAUGGUACCGCCAGAGGAAGCCCCGGCUAACUCCGUGC
rnacentral:rRNA from 1 species